CUCUCCUCCACAUCUUCAUUUUUCAUCAACGGCGGAAGAGACCGACGCUCCCUCUCAGCCGUAUUCUCUUCCAGGCCCCUACUAAACUCACCAACCCUAAGUCCACUUAAUGUACUCCUUGCAGAGCUUCAUGGCAAGAGCUGGCGGGAGUGUUGGUGUUUUCGGCGAUUCCUUUCGCGGCGGUCAAAGUCAUCGCUAAUAGCCCUCUCGGCGAAUCCCUGCAGAGGCAAUUGUUGAAGACGAAGAAAGAAGCUCUUGAAAAUUCUUCAAGGGUCCAGGCUUCAGCUCAGAAAGCAAGAAACGAGAGCUUUUGGUACGGAGAAUAGCGCCCUCGAUGGCUUGGCCCCAUCCCAUAUGAGUAUCCUGAUACCUGACUGGAGAACUGCCUGGGGAUUAUGGUUUUGAUAUUGCACGUCUA